rnacentral:rRNA from 1 species
UACGUAGGGGGCAAGCGUUGUCCGGAAUCAUUGGGCGUAAAGCGCGUGUAGGCGGUUCGGUAAGUCUGCUGUGAAAGUCCAGGGCUCAACCCUGGGAUGCCGGUGGAUACUGUCGGACUAGAGUACGGAAGAGGCGAGUGGAAUCCCGGUGUAGCGGUGAAAUGCGCAGAUAUCGGGAGGAACACCAAUUGCGAAGGCAGCUCGCUGGGACGUCGACUGACGCUGAGACGCGAAAGCGUGGGGAGCA